rnacentral:snRNA from 1 species
AUAUUUACCUGGCAGGGGAGAUACCAUGAUCACGAAGGUGGUUUUCCCAGGGCGAGGCUUAUCCAUUGCACUCCGGAUGUGCUGACCCCUGCGAUUUCCCCAAAUGUGGGAAACUCGACUGCAUAAUUUGUGGUGGUAGUGGGGGACUGCGUUCGCGCUUUCCCCUG